rnacentral:lncRNA from 1 species
UGGAAACAAAGAUGAUGAGACCGAAGAUAAUGUUUAGGGAGGUGUUUUGAUGGAUUGUUAUCCAGAUGUCGUUGAAUUAUUAUUAUUUUUUAUAUGGAUGUUGGAUUAUUUUUUAAUGGAUGUUGAUGAAUUAUUAUUUUGGUAUGGAUGUUUAUGAUGUAGCUUGAACGAAAAAUAUUAUGAAUUAUAGAUGUCAUGAACGGAAAAUAGGCAUUGCGGAGCAUUCUGGAUCACUGGGUCCUAGCGGUCGCUGGGACCCAGCGGUCACUGGGACUCAGCGAUCGCUGGUCCUAGCAGUCCAGAAUGCAUGCGUUUGUUCAUUUCAAUUUCUACACAUCUCCUCAAUCCUAUGUCAUCUAUCACAAUAAUAUAUUAUCAGUACAAUGAACUCCAAACAAAUAUUCAUAAAACAAAUAGCAGAUUCCAUCAUAAAACAAAUUCAUAGUCGAAAUCCAAAUUCAAAUACAAACCCCCCCCCCCAAAAAAAAAAACAAUCAUCCAAAUAAAACAAUCCAAACAUUUAUCCAAAUUUAAAAUUUAAAAAAGAUCACCCACGAGGUCUCCACGC